rnacentral:rRNA from 1 species
GGAAUAUUGCACAAUGGGCGGAAGCCUGAUGCAGCGACGCCGCGUGAGGGAUGACGGCCUUCGGGUUGUAAACCUCUUUCAGCAGGGACGAAGCGCAAGUGACGGUACCUGCAGAAGAAGCGCCGGCCAACUACGUGCCAGCAGCCGCGGUAAGACGUAGGGCGCGAGCGUUGUCCGGAUUUAUUGGGCGUAAAGAGCUCGUAGGCGGCUUGUCGCGUCGAAUGUGAAAUCUCAGGGCUCAACUCUGACAUUGCAUUCGAUACGGGCAGGCUAGAGUUCGGUAGGGGAGACUGGAAUUCCUGGUGUAGCGGUGAAAUGCGCAGAUAUCAGGAGGAACACCGGUGGCGAAGGCGGGUCUCUGGGCCGAUACUGACGCUGAGGAGCGAAAGCGUGGGGAGCGAA